AUUAAAUGAUUGUUUUAGACAGAUGAUGCCAUUCAUGGUUGGUUUUGGACGUAUGACUUGUUUAAUUGUAAAUUUUCUCGACUAUUUGAAUAGUAGUAGAAUAGGAGGAAAACAGGUUAAGACGUUGAGUGGGCUUGGGGCCCAGACUUGGAGCAGAUUAUAAUCAAACCGAUGCUUUGAGUGUUUGAUGAGAUUAAGAAUUUGAGCGAGAAGAUGGAGGGACCUCCGGUGAACGACUGCUGCUCUAUUUGCCAUGGAAGCUUCAACGUUCCUUGCCAGGCCAACUGCUCUCAUUGGUUCUGCGGCAAUUGUAUUAUGCUUGUUUGGCAUCAUGGAUCCUCACUUCACCCAUGUAAAUGCCCCCUGUGUCGACGUCACAUUACUUUGUUGGUUCCUGGUGAGGCCUCUUUAAGGGAGCGUCAUAACUCAGCAGUUGCUGAGAUUCUGGAAAAGGUUGAAAAAUACAACCGAUACUUUGGUGGACAAUCCAAUGGUCUCAUUCAGAGACUGCAAGACCUUCCUUUCCUGCUUCGCAGGUUGUUACGAGAAAUGACAGAUCCUCAGAGAUCUCUUCCUCUUGUCAUCAAAGCUCGUGUAUAUCUUGCAAACAGAAUCAUUAAGUCCUUUGCAAACAAUAGCAACAAAAGUUUGGAAUAUUAGACAUGCUGCAAAAAUGUUCUUAAGUACCAUCUACAUAUUCAGCCCCAUAGACAUUAUUCCUGAAGCAAUCUUGGGGAUAGUUGGCCUCUUGGAUGAUCUUCUUAUAGUUCUCGUCUGCUUUCUCCAUGUUGCUGCCAUCUAUCGGUCUGUUCUCUACUAUCGUCAUGGAGGUUCUUGAAGUUUACUGGAGCGUUGAUAUAGGUAAACUCACAGAACGCUAAACACACAUAAUGAGUUGGAAAGUAUAUAGUUGUAUGGGUAGUGAAUUAAUUAGGAUUACUUUCAAGUAGUUGUAAGUGUAAUAUAGCAAAGUUGUUUGUUGAGUAUAGUUCUACUUGACAACUUGUGCAUUUGACUUGUGUUGAUAACCGUUACACAAAAAUUUGAUUUUUUUUAUUUAUUUUUUCAAAAGUUUAUCAUCUGCUUACUGAAAGUUAUUGUGAGCCAGACUAGAGGGCUGAAUGUGCACGACGACUAAAACCUUGAAUGGUCAGUUGAAUGUAUUGUUUAUCAUGUGUUA